GAGGAUAUAGCUCAAUGGUAGAGUGUGUGCCUAGCAUUCACAAGGUCCUGGGUUCAGUUCCCCGUACCUCCA
rnacentral:tRNA from 1 species